rnacentral:lncRNA from 1 species
CUGACUUUCGUCUCUGGAAAGAAGGUUCGGCCGCCGAAGGUGCCGCCGAACUUGCCUGACUUUCGUCUCUGUCUGGGACUUUCGGCCGCCGAAGGUGCCGCCGAAAGUGCCCUGCCCAGCCUUUUCUUGGGUGUUUUCUAUGCAUGCUUCUAUGAUGUUUUAGGGGGUUUUUGGGUAGUCUUUUAUGAGUUGUUUAGAGUAUGUUUGGCACCUCACUGGAGUCCACCUGUGUAGGAUCGGACCCGAGGAACCGAGGUGUUUAGUAGUGUCAGCCGUUUCAAAGUCGGCCCAGAGCUAGUCUCAGGUGAGUGGAACUGAACCUUAUGUUUUAAAAUAAAUCAAAUGUUAAGCAUGUUCAUGCAUCAUAAAAUGCCAUGAUAUGUAGUAGGUUGUAUUGCAUUAGUAUUCACGAAUAUGAUGCAUUGCAUAAUAUGUUGUUGAUGUGGAUGAAUCUUGAAUGAUCCUUUAGCCCUCAAUACGAUAUGAUAUGAUAUGAUAUGCCAUGGUAUGAUAUGAGAUAGAAAGACCAGGUCGCCCCUGGCACUAUGUUAUGUAAGCGAACACUAGGUGAGGCCUAAUCGCCCCUGGUGUAGUUGGACAUGUUAUGAUAUGAGUUAAGUAAGCGAAUACUAGGUGUGGCCUCAUCGCCCCUGGUAUAGUUGGACGUAUUACGACACGUAGAGGGCUAUGGGUGACAAAUUCAUCCUUGAUGUGAUAUGUUUGUGAAGUGAUGCAUUCCAUGAUGGCAUAUGUUAAAAUGAACUGUUUUCUUUAUGGUUUCUGCUCACUGGGCUUUAUAGCUCACCCCUCUCCCC